rnacentral:sRNA from 1 species
GUCGUGAGAUGUUGGGUUAAGUCCCGCAACGAGCGCAACCCUCGUCCCUAGUUACCAGCGGGUUAUGCCGGGCACUCUAGGGAGACUGCCGGUGUCAAACCGGAGGAAGGUGGGGAUGACGUCAAGUCAUCAUGGCCCUUACGUCCAGGGCGACACACGUGCUACAAUGGCCGGUACAACGGGCGGCGAAACCGCGAGGUGGAGCAAAUCCCUUAAAGCCGGUCUCAGUUCGGAUUGUAGGCUGCAACUCGCCUACAUGAAGCCGGAGUUGCUAGUAACCGCAGGUCAGCAUUACUGCGGUGAAUAUGUUCCCGGGCCUUGUACACACCGCCCGUCACGUCAUGAAAGCUGGCAACACCCGAAGCCGGUGGGCCAACCGCAAGGAGGCAGCCGUCGAAGGUGGGGUCGGUGAUUGGGGACGAAGUCGUAACAAGGUAGCCGUACCGGAAGGUGCGGCUGGAUCACCUCCUUUCUAGGGAGAUCCGAGUCCCGACUCUUCGGUGGGGUCGGGGGCGUUGAAGGCUCCCAGGUUGAUCGCCCGGUCGUUCACAGUCUUCCGUCAGGUGGACUGCGCUGGAACAGGUCCGCGAGGACCCGCCCAGAGACCGAUCGCGACCUGACGAAAACACCGAAACCCGUUCACCAUCCACGUCUGGAAUUCCUGUCACUCUUCAAGGGUUAAGGGUGCAGCCGCCGGCGGCGACCGUUGUCGACCGUAGUCGGCACGGCCCCGGCGGGCGUUUAGCUCAGCUGGUUAGAGCACUGCCCUGAUAAGGCAGAGGUCUCUGGUUCGAGUCCAGAAACGCCCACCACACAUCCCGCGAGGCAAGGGGACGUAGCUCAGUUGGCAGAGCAUCUCCUUUGCAAGGAGAGGGUCAGGAGUUCGAGUCUCCUCGUCUCCACCACCCGCUCCGGGAGAGCAGCGGAGGAUCAGAACCUGCGCAAGGCCGCACCACAUCUGAACUGAAGAACCCGGGCAGACCCGGAACGACCCGCAACCGAAGGCGCUGUCCUCUGACGGCUCCGAGGCCUGGUCCUCGAGCCGUCUUUGUGUGUCCGCCACCAUCGAGCCCCUGAUCCGUGAUCUCUCGCACGACGUGCAAGAGCUCACCGACCAGCGGAACGCUGGAAGACCGAACCGGCCCUUGGCCGGCCAGGAACGUAGCCCGAGCGAUCGGGCCGCACCUUAACAACUGGAUAUGUAUGUUCGGCAGUAAAUCGAUCUUCGAUUUCGCCGAGUUAAUUCAAGGAUACGAUCCCGAUCGAUCCCAUCUACGCACCUGGCCGCCUGGUCAGAUGCUGGAGGGGGUCAAGCUACAAAGGGCACGGGGUGGAUGCCUUGGCGCCAAGAGCCGAUGAAGGACGUGGCAGGCUGCGUAAAGCUUCGGGGAGUCGCGAGCAGACUUUGAUCCGGAGAUGU